rnacentral:ncRNA from 1 species
GCUCGAGGACGACCUCGAGCAGCGUGCAAAGGAGCUUGUCGAGGACGAUCUCG